rnacentral:lncRNA from 1 species
CCUCACCCAGGUUAAAGCAAUGUGUUCCUCAUUCCAGCCUUUAUCUACCAAGCUGCCUGUCAUUAAUUCUAAGACUCAUGUUUGUUUGUUUUCACAUUUUAACAUCUUGUAAAUUAAAAUGGUCUCUUAAAUUAAACAAAAUUUUAGAAUUACAUUCAUCAAAGGUACAAAUUAUAGCUAGUCAUUUUCUAAUUCUUUUUCAAGAUCUACUUUUCUUGACCUAAUAAUGACUAGGAAAUUUGUGAUUUCCCUGCCCUGU